UACAGAGGGGGCCAGCGUUAUUCGGAAUUAUUGGGCGUAAAGGGCGCGUAGGCGGCCAUGCGUGUCUCCCGUGAAAUCCCUCGGCCUCAACCGAGGACGUGCGGAAGAAACUGCAAGGCUCGAGGUCCGGAAGAGGGGGGCGGAAUUCCCAGUGUAGCGGUGGAAAUGCGUAGAUAUUGGGAGGAACACCAGUGGCGAAGGCGGUCCCCUGGGCCGGAACUGACGCUGAGGCGCGGAAAGCGUGGGUAGCAAAC
rnacentral:rRNA from 1 species